rnacentral:rRNA from 1 species
AACGAACGCUGGCGGCAUGCCUAACACAUGCAAGUCGAACGAGACCUUCGGGUCUAGUGGCGCACGGGUGCGUAACGCGUGGGAAUCUGCCCUUCGGUUGGGAAUAACUGAGAGAAAUUUCAGCUAAUACCUUAUAAUGUCUUCGGACCAAAGAUUUAUCGCCGAGGGAUGAGCCCGCGUAGGAUUAGGUAGUUGGUGGGGUAAUGGCCUACCAAGCCGACGAUCCUUAGCUGGUCUGAGAGGAUGAUCAGCCACACUGGGACUGAGACACGGCCCAGACUCCUACGGGAGGCAGCAGUGGGGAAUAUUGGACAAUGGGCGAAAGCCUGAUCCAGCAAUGCCGCGUGAGUGAUGAAGGCCUCAGGGUUGUAAAGCUCUUUUACCCGGGAUGAUAAUGACAGUACCGGGAGAAUAAGCUCCGGCUAACUCCGUG